AUUGCACGCUGGCGGCCGGCCUAACACAUGCAAGUCGAACGGAGUUGCGGACGGGUGAGUAAUGUCUGGGAAUCUGCAUGGUAGUGGGGGAUAACGUUCGGAAACGGGCGCUAAUACCGAAUACUAUCAGAUGAGCCUAGGUCGGAUUAGCUCGUUGGGUGGGUAAAGGCCUACCAAGGCGACGAUCCGUAACUGGUCUGAGAGGAUGAUCAGUCACACUGGAACUGAGACACGGUCCAGACGCCUACGGUAGGCAGCAGUGGGGAAUAUUGGACAAUGGGCGAGAGCCUGAUCCAGCCAUGCCGCGUGUGUGAAGAAGUUCUUCGGAUUGUAAAGCACUUUAAGUUGGGAGGCGUUACCAACUGAAUAAGCACCGGCUAACUUCGUGCCAGCAGCCGCGGUAAUUC
rnacentral:rRNA from 1 species